GACGAACGCUGGCGGCGUGCUUAACACAUGCAAGUCGAACGGAAAGGCCCUGCUUUUGUUGGUUUCUCGAUUGGCGAACGGGUGUGUAACACGUGAGUAACCUGCCCUUGACUUUGUGAUAACUUCAGGAAACUGGGGCGAAUACCGGAUAGGAUCUCCUGCUGCAUGUUGGUGGUUGGAAAAUUUCGGCUGUUGUGGAUGGACUGGAGGCUUAUGAGCUUGUUUGUGGGGUAGUGGCGUACCACGGCUUUGACGGUUAGCCGGCAUGAGAGCGUGACCAGGCACCUGGGGACUGAGAUACGGAGCAGAAUCCAACCGGAGGCAGCAGGCGGGAAUAUUGCACAACGGGGGGACGCCUGAUGCAACAAUGUCGCGAGCGGGAUGAUGGCCUUCGGGUUGUAAACCGCUUUCGCAUGUAACGAAGAGGGAGUGACGGUAAUGGGUAAAGAAGCAACGGCUAACUACGUG
rnacentral:rRNA from 1 species